UUGUCAGAAGGGUAACUAUAGAAUUGUGCAUGUUUUGGACUUUUUGUAGUUACAAAGUUGUUCAUGCGUGAAAAAUCAUAUGCAUACUCUGUCUAUGUCAACAGCUUGGCAGGAAACAGUGUUCACAUCAAACUGUUUUGGACGUGACACAAAGCUGAUGAGGUUAAGAGUAGUAGUGUAUAACUCUACCAGGUGUACGGUGGCUGACCUGGUGGAGAAGAAGCAACGAGCUCAACAAACUUACUAUUAAUCACUUGAUUCGUGGGAAAUGAAGGACUUCGUCACAAGGAUUGUGUACAAUUGAAAACCUUUGGAGUAGUCGGCUUCAGGCUCAACCCAGGUCUUAUUGCACACAUCUUGAUGGUAUUUCAUUGGCAAAACAUAAAAUGGACCAACAAAACAACUGAGACUAUUAGUCAUUUGACCCACAAAAGUUUGGACUGUUGAUGGAAUGCACAAAAACCUCUGAGAUAUCAGUCUCCUUAGCACACUUGAAGUUAAACAUGUAUUCCUUUAUCAGAUCUAGCUACACAAUGUCAAAU